rnacentral:lncRNA from 1 species
GGGGUUUUGGCUGAGAACUGGGAAGGAAGACGAGGAUAGAGGAGGGAAGGGGAAGAGAGGAAAUGGAUAGGUCGGGAGGGGCUUAUUUGGAGGCUUCGGCAUGGAAGAACAGGGAAAGCAACCUUGGAGAAGACGUCCCCUUUUCUUCAUGUGAAGUUUGAGCUUACGGUCCAAAGCAACCCACAAUGCUUGUUUUGGGUAGCUGGCUCCUUGCACGGGUGUGAGCGAAGAUCUCGGAGCUUUGGCAAUGAAGGCAAAGCUCUUGGCUCUGAUACUAGGCUAAUAGAGGACAACUGUAGGCAAAAGAGGGAAGGAGG